rnacentral:rRNA from 1 species
CAGCCGCCGCGGGAAUACGAAGGGUGCAAGCGUUAAUCGGAAUUACUGGGCGUAAAGCGUGCGUAGGCGGUUUGUUAAGUCUGUUGUGAAAUCCCCGGGCUCAACCUGGGAAUGGCAAUGGAUACUGGCAAGCUAGAGUGUGUCGGAGGAUGGAGGAAUUCCCGGUGUAGCGGUGAAAUGCGUAGAGAUCGGGAGGAACAUCAGUGGCGAAGACGGCCAUCUGGGACAACACUGACGCUGAGGCACGAAAGCGUGGGGAGCAAACAGGAUUAGAGACCCCCGUAGUCCCUGUCUCUUAUAC